rnacentral:rRNA from 1 species
UACGAAGGGGGCGAGCGUUGUUCGGAUUUACUGGGCGUAAAGGGCGCGCAGGCGGCCAUCUUUGUCAGGCGUGAAAGCCCCGGGCUCAACCUGGGAGGUGCGCUUGGGACGGGGUGGCUGGAGGUCGGGAGAGGAGCGUGGAAUUCCCAGUGUAGAGGUGAAAUUCGUAGAUAUUGGGAAGAACACCGGUGGCGAAGGCGGCGCUCUGGACCGAACCUGACGCUGAGGCGCGAAAGCGUGGGGAGCAAACAGGAUUAGAUACCCUGGUAGUCCACGCCGUAAACGAUGUGUGCUAGACGUUGGGGAGCCUAGCUCUUCGGUGUCGCAGCUAACGCGGUAAGCACACCGCCUGGGGAGUACGGCCGCAAGGUUAAAACUCAAAG